rnacentral:rRNA from 1 species
AUCUCAGUUCAGACUGCAGGCUGCAACUCGCCUGCACGAAGUCGGAAUUGCUAGUAAUCGCGGAUCAGCAUGCCGCGGUGAAUACGUUCCCGGGUCUUGUACACACCGCCCGUCACACCAUGGGAGUCGGAAAUGCCCGAAGUCUGUGACCCAACCGAAAGGAGGGAGCAGCCGAAGGCAGGUCGGAUGACUGGGGUGAAGUCGUAACAAGGUAUC